AACGGGUGAGUAACACGUGAGUAACCUGCCCCUGACUCUGGGAUAAGCGUUGGAAACGACGUCUAAUACUGGAUAUGACCGCCGAUCGCAUGGUCUGGUGGUGGAAAGAUUUUUUGGUUGGGGAUGGACUCGCGGCCUAUCAGCUUGUUGGUGAGGUAAUGGCUCACCAAGGCGACGACGGGUAGCCGGCCUGAGAGGGUGACCGGCCACACUGGGACUGAGACACGGCCCAGACUCCUACGGGAGGCAGCAGUGGGGAAUAUUGCACAAUGGGCGAAAGCCUGAUGCAGCAACGCCGCGUGAGGGAUGACGGCCUUCGGGUUGUAAACCUCUUUUAGUAGGGAAGAAGCGAAAGUGACGGUACCUGCAGAAAAAGCACCGGCUAACUACGUGCCAGC
rnacentral:rRNA from 1 species